UACGUAGGGUGCAGGCGUUAAUCGGAAUUACUGGGCGUAAAGGGCGCGUAGGCGGUUUGUUAAGUUGGAUGUGAAAACUGUGGGCUCAACCUACAGCCUGCAUCCAAUACUGACAGGCUAGAGUUCUGGAGGGGAUAGCGGAAUUCCUGGUGUAGCGGUGAAAUGCGUAGAUAUCAGGAGGAACACCAGUGGCGAAAGCGGCCACCUGGACUGCACCUGACGCUGACACGCGAAAGCUAGGGGAGCGAACGGG
rnacentral:rRNA from 1 species